rnacentral:sRNA from 1 species
CCAGAGAAGUGAAUCCGCCGCUUGCGCCGCAUGGAGUCCGAAUCGGAAAGCGGGGCUGCUGCUGACACCCCCCCACUGGAGACCCUAAGCUUCCAUGGUGACGAAGAGAUUAUCGAGGUGGUAGAACUUGAUCCCGGUCCGCCGGACCCAGAUGACCUGGCCCAGGAGAUGGAAGAUGUGGACUUUGAGGAAGAAGAGGAGGAAGAGGGCAACGAAGAGGGCUGGGUUCUAGAACCCCAGGAAGGGGUGGUCGGCAGCAUGGAGGGCCCCGACGAUAGCGAGGUCACCUUUGCAUUGCACUCAGCAUCUGUGUUUUGUGUGAGCCUGGACCCCAAGACCAAUACCUUGGCGGUGACCGGGGGUGAAGAUGACAAAGCCUUCGUAUGGCGGCUCAGCGAUGGGGAGCUGCUCUUUGAGUGUGCAGGCCAUAAAGACUCUGUGACUUGUGCUGGUUUCAGCCAUGACUCCACUCUAGUGGCCACAGGGGACAUGAGUGGCCUCUUGAAAGUGUGGCAGGUGGACACCAAGGAGGAGGUCUGGUCCUUUGAAGCAGGAGACCUGGAGUGGAUGGAGUGGCAUCCUCGGGCACCUGUCCUGUUGGCGGGCACAGCCGAUGGCAACACCUGGAUGUGGAAAGUCCCGAAUGGUGACUGCAAGACCUUCCAGGGUCCCAACUGCCCAGCCACCUGUGGCCGAGUCCUCCCUGAUGGGAAGAGAGCUGUGGUAGGCUAUGAAGAUGGGACCAUCAGGAUUUGGGACCUGAAGCAGGGAAGCCCUAUCCAUGUACUGAAAGGGACUGAGGGUCACCAGGGCCCACUCACCUGUGUUGCCACCAACCAGGAUGGCAGCUUGAUCCUAACUGGCUCUGUGGACUGCCAGGCCAAGCUGGUCAGUGCCACUACUGGCAAGGUGAGUGGACCUGGAGCCCGGCUGGGUCCUCCGCUUUCCCGACUCCUCUCCUUCCUUCCUGGGUCUUCACUGUCUCCUCUCCCCACCAUCUUUCUCUCCAUCAAGCACCCGGAUUCCGGGUCCUCCUCUGAUCCUCUCUGGCUUUCAGGUGGUGGGUGUUUUUAGACCUGAGACUGUGGCCUCCCAGCCCAGCCUGGGAGAAGGGGAGGAGAGUGAGUCCAACUCGGUGGAGUCCUUGGGCUUCUGCAGUGUGAUGCCCCUGGCAGCUGUUGGCUACCUGGAUGGGACCUUGGCCAUCUAUGACCUGGCUACGCAGACUCUUAGGCAUCAGUGUCAGCACCAGUCGGGCAUCGUGCAGCUGCUGUGGGAGGCAGGCACUGCCGUGGUAUAUACCUGCAGCCUGGAUGGCAUCGUGCGCCUCUGGGAUGCCCGGACCGGCCGCCUGCUUACUGACUACCGGGGCCACACGGCCGAGAUCCUGGACUUUGCCCUCAGCAAAGAUGCCUCCCUGGUGGUGACCACGUCAGGAGACCACAAAGCGAAAGUAUUUUGUGUCCAAAGGCCUGACCGUUAAUGGCUGCAGCCCCUGCCUGUGUGUCUGGUGUUGAGGGGACGAAGGGACCCCUGCCCCUGUCUGCCAGCAGAGGCAGUAGGGCACAGAGGGAAGAGGAGGGUGGGGCCCUGGAUGACUUUCCAGCCUCUUCAACUGACUUGCUCCUCUCUCCUUUUCUUGUCUUUAGAGACCCAGCCCAGGGCCCUCCCACCCUUGCCCAGACCUGGUGGGCCCUUCAGAGGGAGGGGUGGACCUGUUUCUCUUUCACUUUCAUUUGCUGGUGUGAGCCAUGGGGUGUGUAUUUGUAUGUGGGGAGUAGGUGUUUGAGGUUCCCGUUCUUUCCCUUCCCAAGUCUCUGGGGGUGGAAAGGA